rnacentral:Y_RNA from 1 species
UUGGCGAAUGCAGGUGUAACUACAUGGCUGAUAACCCGAUGAACGUGGGUUCGAUUCCCGCCGGUUCCGACAACGAUGGAACCGUAGCUCAAUGGUAGAGCGUCGCACGUUACACCGACUCUUGUCGCCAAUCU